AUUGAACUUGGACCUUCAUACUUACUUAUAACAACUACUUCUGAGCUACCUUCCCAGCCCAAAAUUCCUCAUCCUGGGGUAAUAUGGAGACUUACUCAGCGUGAGUACCACUGUUCUGGAAGACAACUGAACUUGAGAAAGGCUUGAGUCUCUGUACCAAUGGGCAAUAUGCUUGCUCCAUGUUUACAUUGACUGUACCAUGCACGAAAGAUAAACUUUUGUUGUGUUAAGAAGCCUUCCGGAGGAGUUAUCUUGUAAAGUGGUGACUCUGUCCCAACAAAGCCAACAAUAAUCACUGCCUUUGAAUCUAAAACACUCAUUGAGGCCAUUACUUAAACAGGUUUCCCGGUCCCAAAAGGCAGGACAAGCUCCAAGUGCUAGACAGGCAGGGUUAUUCUGUCCAGGCUGGGAGAGCCCAUGCAGAAUCCUCUAUCCACUUCAUUCAUUCAUUCACAGCCUGCUUGGUAUGUUAACAAUGGUUGAAGCGGAAGUCACGGAAAGCCAGGAUCAGAUAUCAGCCAGCUGCUGGUGUUGACACAUUCCUGCCGCCCUCGUCUCCUGGCGCCAGUUCGGGUGCCCGCCACUUCUCAGCUAAGAGUGUUCAGCUCUUCCUUCAGGACUUCAGCUCACAAAGAAUGAAUGCCAGAGUUGCCAGGCCUGCCGCUCUCGCGGGUUAGUAGUUAGAACUGCAAACCCAGCCAGGUCCCAGGCUGUGCGAGAGGCUUGCGUGUCUAUCUGACAGUCUCGCUCAGUUCUGACAGGACUUGUCAAACUCCACCAUCUCUCCCUUUUCUCUCCACCUUCUUCUUAAGUCCCCCUCUGCACCCUGCCUUGCUCCUCUCCCCCUGUGACUUAGCACUCUGUAUCUGAAGUGCCGCCAAUGUAGCCUUGGGUUUCAUGGAGUCCGUAGGGUUAACUCACUGCCAAUGGCUUCUUCAUUGCCAUUGGCAGCUUGCCUGCCGCCCUCCCCAUGUUUGAUUCUUGAAGCUGUGGCCUGUGUUUGGAACACGGUGCACAUACGCCCAGCCUUGGGACAAGAACACAUGACAUUUAUUAAACUGAUCUGCCAAAUGUUGCCUAAUGACAGGCCAGCGGGGUACAGAGAGCACCCCAGAAGCACACUCAGGAAGUAACUGUGCAUGUAUCCCAACGACCAUAGAUCUUAGACUUGGCAUGGAGCCAACAGGUUGUCAUCUGCUAGGACUCAGCAUGUUCUAGGUCCCUCCCUUCAAUAUAUAUGUCCCUUUGCUCCAGCCAGGAUCUGUUCCUGCUGAUUAUUUGUCCCCAAAAAAGAAGAUUCUUGAAGCUAUUCUCUGAAUUACUUGCUUGCUUGCUUGCUUGGUGUGUGUGCACGUGUGUGUCUGUGUGUGCGUGCGCGCGCGCGUGUUGUAUGAAGAAGGGGUUUACACAUGUGUGUGCAUGUAUGUUAAGUGUCUUUUAUUGGUCUCUCCUUUUUGUUUUUUUAAAGACAGUGUUUCUUUUUUUUUAAGAUUUAUUUAUUAUUAUAUCUAAAUACACUGUAGCUGUAUUCAGAUCCCAUUACAGAUGGUUGUGAGCCACCAUGUGGUUGCUGGGAUUUGAGCUCACGACCCUUGGAAGAGCAGUCAGUGCUCUUAACCACUAAGCCAUCUCUCCAGCCCAAGACAGUGUUUCUCACUGACGACUGAUCUGAAGAGGCUGACCGGCCAGUGGACUCUGGGGAUCUGUCGUUCUCAAUAUCCAAAUUCAGGUCUUCAUGCUCACUUAAUUAUCUGUCUCCUGAGUCCAAUCUAUAUCACUAUGUUAGCCCAGGUUAGCUCAGCCUCCAGAGUGCUAAGAUUGCAGAUUCGAGUCACCACGUCCAGAUAGAUUUCCCUGGGGUGGUUUAUAGUUUAUUGAUUUACACUUAGUCUUUGGCACUGGCCAGACUGCGCAGGGAUGCUUUCGUAUCCUUACGUAAAUAUGCAGGCCACUCUGUCAGUGUUCAAGAACUUCGUCUUUGGGAAGGCUCGUCUCUAGUCCCACCAAAAUUACUAACAAGCAUAGAAACAGGACAGCUGGACCCUGAGAUCUGUGGAACCUGAAAUCACUCAAAGCCUCCCUUAGAAACCGUAGGGGAGAAGCAGUUGAAGGCUUUGACAAAACUAUGGGAGAUGGGGCAAGGGGCACUGUCAAGUGUUCUUCUCAGGCUGAGGCUGAGAAUCACUCAUGUUCAGUGCCGACAGUGAAGAAGCCAUUGGCUUCUUGCUGUUUGUUGGCUGUACAUGGUGUUGAACAAAUCAUGUGGCCUCAUGAUAGUUCCAUUUUUCCAUCUGUGAAGUGGGGCCAGCCCUUCUACGGCUGCUGUACAUGAAGGGGUAGACAGAUACUUGGAGCAGUGCCUGGAGCCCAGGAAACACCCCACGGGUCAUCUGUUACUUCCUUGCUUUGGAGGCCACCAGAGGGCAAGUAUGAGAGACUCCUGGGAGCCAGACGGUAGAGACGAUCACGCUGAGGUUUCAUUGAGAAUCGAAAAGAUUUGCUCAGAUGAGAGCUAUUAGGAAUCUGUGAGCGAGGCUUGGGGAGACCGCCCAGUCCAUAAAGUGAUUGCUCUUUAAGCAAUGAUGAGUGUGACCCCUAGAACUGACACUGUUAAAAAAGCUUAGGAUUGGAGAGUGGCAUCAGCAUUAAUGGGCAAAUCUGGCUCUGCCAGAGGACCUAAGUUUAGUUCUCAGCACCCAAGUUGGGUGCUUGCAGCUGCAGUUAACUCUAGGUCUAGGGAUUGGAAGCCCUCUUCUGGCCUCCACAGGCACACAGGCAUUCACAUUCAGUCUCCACACACCCUACCCACAUAAUGAAAAAAAAAAAUCAUAAAAAUAAACCUUAAAAAACAAGAAAAAAGAAAAAAAGGCCAGGCAUGGGGUAGACUUGUAACCCCAGCAGUGGGGAGAGGAAGACAGAAGGAUCUGAGUCAGUUGCUGGCCAGCCAAGCCUACAGACCAGUGGGAGACCCUAUCUCCAAGAAAAGGACAGUAGAGACUGGGGAGAUGGCUCGGUUAUAGUGCUUUUUCCUGUCUUGCAAGCAACAUGUCUGAGGACAGGAGUCUGCACCCCCAGUCCCUCCCAAGUGCUGGGUAGAUGUGGCAGCCCACCUGUCUCUCCAAGAGCUUGGGGUCCCAGCUAGACUAGUCACACAAGCAAGCUCUAGGGUCUGGGUUGUGCUAAAGACUCCUUAUGUCAACCUCAACCACUAUAUGCACACGGACUACAUACACAUGUGCAUCCACAUACCGGUACACACACCCAUGCAUAAAUAUGCACACGCACACCACAUAUAUACACAUGUGAAAAAACUUACAGGUGUGUGGCCACUGAAAAUGACACGCUUUGACUUCCUCAUGGAUGUGCACACACCCGUGCGAGUCUGUAUCCACAUGAACAUAUGCUUACACAAACACACAAGAAGUCUGUGGGUGGAUUCCCACAUAUAUAAUGGCUUGGUUCUGUCCUGCCAGAGCAAAUGGACACACCCAACAGGCAGCUGGGCCCUCGGCUACCACACUGCUACCCCAAAGCUAACCACAGAGCAUUUUGCAAGCCAAAAGCUUCAGGACACAACACUGAAUCAUUGAACCCACAUUUCUGCCCCCCCUCUCAAAGGGUGGGGGUCCUUGACUCUCUCUCCAACUGAUGUCUUUCUGUCCCUCCUGCCUACUCAGCCCUGGAGCUGUUCCCGGGACCUUGCUGAGCCAUGUCCUGGGUGGUAACACCCACGCAGGAUAGCCAGACUCACCCCACACAUGCAGCCAUUAAAAAUUAACUCCAGAGAUCUUUAAAAGCAGAGAAAGUCACCAGAGAGAAAGGGUACAAAGGACAGGGCAUGACUAGAGGUUUGGGACAUAGCAUCUAACAAGUUUUGACUGCAGACAGAAGACAUUUUCCCCCCUUUCUUUCAGAAAAGGAUGAGAAAUCUUUUUUAUGCAUUUGCCAUGGGAAACACUCAGCUCAGCACAUUCCACAAGCUAAAAGGAGGCAAACCAACACGAUGGCAGAACUCUCCUACCAGCCCACAGGCUCUCAACAAACCCCUGCACUGCCAGGACAGAAAAGCCUCUGCUGACCAUGUCUGGUGAUGUCAGGGGAGAACGGCACAGGAAUCUCAGCCUCCCUCUCCCAACAGUCAGAAGUUCCUCUGUCAGCCUGGCUCAAGUUACAUCACCUCUCCUUUGCCAGACUGGGGAUUUGCUCUUCCUGCCCUUCCCAGCUUCCUAUUUUAAUUUCCUUUUAUUCUCUGUUCACCACUGACUCUGCAGACAAUAAACAGAGACAACCGAGAAGCAGUGAAAACACUCUAUGGAGUUACCUGCUAAUGGCAGAUCACCCGAUCACCAUCGGGAAAUCAGAGGUUGACAACUGGACAAAGGACGAAGAGGCAGCAUUGUUAUCCACAGGACUUGUUAUCUCAAGUCCCCCAACUCUAACUGCCAAGCCUCUAGGCUGUGACCCCACAGGGAGGGGAGCUUUUGCCCCAGGGGCUCCUGGCAGCCUGAAGACAUUCAAAAGUCCUGUUUUGCAGGGCCGGGCACCUGUUGUUCUAAGAGGAAAGGAAGUCUGUGGUUUAUGUUUUUAUCAGAAUUCAGGGAUUUUUUUUUUCUAGUGAGGUCAGCCUUGUGCUUUCAGAAGCAAUAAUGGGAGUAAACCAAGCUUGGCAAUGAUUUAAACCUGAUCCCCACCACCCCGCCUGCACAGACCACUGCACACCCAAGCAGGAGCUCCCAUUCACAGCUCCCAUCCUCUCCAGUUACAUGGCAAAGGGCUCCCAACUCCCAGACGCUGAGCCAGCCAGCAUUCACAGAAAGCCACAGUGAAUGGUGCAGGACAGGAGAGAGGACAUCCUGACAUCACAGCAGACUGAAGACAAGGCUAGAAAGAAGAGGGGCUUAAGGGGACUCUGCUGUUUCGUGAGGAAGCUCUCAGGUUGCAAGGUCAACCAUUUAUACUUGAUCGACACACAGAAACACAUCAUAGCAGACCAGAAAGACAAUGACCUAGGUAGACGUACCCGCUAUCUCCAGAGCAUUGCACCAACUGUCAGGGUUGCCUCCAUUUUUUGUAAAACUCACCACCAACACCAAGCAUUUCGUUACAUUUCAGAUGGCUUGCUGGUGAUUGAAAGACAGAAAAAAAGCCCACAGGUUCAUUGACAAGUGAAUAGAUAAACAAGACUCGGUAUAUCCGUCCACGCAGUGGGUUAAUACUUGGUCAUAAGCAAGAGAUGAAUGCUGAAAGAUGCUACAACACAGAUGGAUGUACCUUGAAACAUCACGCCACAUGGAAGAAGCCGAUCACAAAGACCCUGUGUCUACCUGGGAUAAGUCUAGAACACAGAGAAAAGGUCGGGGGCAGGAGAAACGGGAUGUGACUACCAAUGGGCUGAUGACAAUGUCAUAAAUCUAGAGGGUAGUAAUGGCGGCACAACCUUUCGAAAACCACUUAGCUGACCUCAUGAAAAGCAUGGAUUUUUGUGGUAUGCAAAUCUCAAUAAAUUUAUUGUUUAAAAACUGA